AGGAGGGGAUUAUUCAAGGCUGUGGGUCAUAGGCUUGGGAAUCUCAGGGGCCAUCUUAGAGUUCUGCCUAACAUAAGAAGUAAUUUCAGAUCCCUUCUGAACAAGCAUUUAAGUUUUGGGAAACAAGUGGCUAAGGAGAGAAUCAUGUUUCAUUCCACUGUUCCACAUUCAGGGAGUGUGCGUGUGCGGCGAGUGUAGGAUGAGAGGCGUGUGGCUGAUGUUCCCUCCCUGCCUACACUCGGUGUGACUCUGCUACCUGGAUGUACCUGUUAAUCAUACAGGGUGGCCCUUAGCUGUUUAACCAGGUGCUCAGUUGAAGAAACAGCAAUUCUUCUCUAAGACUGGAUGAAAAAUUGGCUGUGUUCAGUUUAUUGACAGCUGGUAGAUCUCCAAUAUAGCACUUUCCUAAGAGAUUUUCAAAGGAUGACAUCCAAGGGAAGUGGGAGACCACAGAUGAACCUACAGAGAUGGGCACGGUGUCACCAGAUGGAGAGAGUGGAAGAGGACAUUUCAGGAGGAGGUGUGGCAUGCACAGAAACGCGGAUGCACACAAUGAAACAGUCAUGAAGUGGCCGUCUGGCUGGAGCCCAGAGUUCAGCUAAGUGAAUCUGAAGAGGUGCUGAGGCCGUCAUGUGAAGGUUCCCUUCCUGUACCUGGGGGAAAGGGUCCUCAUCACCAAAGGAUCUCACAGAAGAAUCUGGAGGAACAGGCCCUGCUGUUUUCCCGACUUAACCCUACUGAGCCCAUUCCCUUUGGUCCUUUCAUAUUUUCAUGUGACUUCCUGCUCUCCAUCAAAC
rnacentral:lncRNA from 1 species